rnacentral:rRNA from 1 species
AAGGCCUUCGGGUUGUAACCUCUUUCAGCAGGGAAGAAGCGCAAGUGACGGUACCUGCAGAAGAAGCGCCGGCUAACUACGUGCCAGCAGCCGCGGUAAUUCGUAGGGCGCAAGCGUUGUCCGGAAUUAUUGGGCGUAAAGAGCUCGUAGGCGGUUUGUCGCGUCCUGGUGUGAAAACUCGAGGCUCAACCUCGAGCUUGCAUCGGGUACGGGCAGACUAGAGUGCGGUAGGGGAGACUGGAAUUCCUGGUGUAGCGGUGGAAUGCGCAGAUAUCAGGAGGAACACCGAUGGCGAAGGCAGGUCUCUGGGCCGCAACUGACGCUGAGGAGCGAAAGCAUGGGGAGCGAACAGGAUUAGAUACCCUGGUAGUCCAUGCCGUAAACGUUGGGCACUAGGUGUGGGGCUCAUUCCACGAGUUCCGUGCCGCAGCAAACGCAUUAAGUGCCCCGCCUGGGGAGUACGGCCGCAAGGCUAAAACUCAAAGGAAUUGACGGGGGCCCGCACAAGCGGCGGAGCAUGCGGAUUAAUUCGAUGCAACGCGAAGAACCUUACCAAGGCUUGACAUGCACGAGAAGCCACCAGAGAUGGUGGUCUCUUUGGACACUCGUGCACAGGUGGUGCAUGGUUGUCGUCAGCUCGUGUCGUGAGAUGUUGGGUUAAGUCCCGCAACGAGCGCAACCCUCGUCCCAUGUUGCCAGCGGGUUAUGCCGGGGACUCAUGGGAGACUGCCGGGGUCAACUCGGAGGAAGGUGGGGAUGACGUCAAAUCAUCAUGCCCCUUAUGUCUUGGGCUUCACGCAUGCUACAAUGGCCGGUACAAAGGGCUGCGAUACCGUAAGGUGGAGCGAAUCCCAAAAAGCCGGUCUCAGUUCGGAUUGGGGUCUGCAACUCGACCCCAUGAAGUCGGAGUCGCUAGUAAUCGCAGAUCAGCAACGCUGCGGUGAAUACGUUCCCGGGCCUUGUACACACCGCCCGUCAAGUCACGAAAGUCGGUAACACCCGAAGCCCAUGGCCCAACCGUUCGCGG